AUGAGCGGCGGACGGGUGAGUAACACGUGGGCAACCUGCCCGUAAGAUCGGAAUAACCCCGGGAAACCGGGGCUAAUGCCGGGUAAUACUUUCUUUCGCAUGAAGGAAAGUUGAAACAUGGCUUCUCGCUAUCACUUACAGAUGGGCCCGCGGCGCAUUAGCUAGUUGGUGAGGUAACGGCUCACCAAGGCGACGAUGCGUAGCCGACCUGAGAGGGUGAUCGGCCACACUGGGACUGAGACACGGCCCAGACUCCUACGGGAGGCAGCAGUAGGGAAUCUUCCGCAAUGGACGAAAGUCUGACGGAGCAACGCCGCGUGAACGAUGAAGGUCUUCGGAUCGUAAAGUUCUGUUGUUAGGGAAGAACAAGUACCGUGCGAAUAGAGCGGUACCUUGACGGUACCUAACGAGGAAGCCCCGGCUAACUACGUGCCAGCACCCGCGGUAAUACGUAGGGGGCAAGCGUUGUCCGGAAUUAUUGGGCGUAAGCGCGCGCAGGCGGUUCCUUAAGUCUGAUGUGAAAGCCCACGGCUCAUCCGUGGAGGGUCAUUGGAAACUGGGGAACUUGAGGACAGAAGAGGAGAGUGGAAUUCCACGUGUAGCGGUGAAAUGCGUAGAUAUGUGGAGGAACACCAGUGGCGAAGGCGACUCUCUGGUCUGUUUCUGACGCUGAGGUGCGAAAGCGUGGGUAGCAAACAGGAUUAGAUACCCUGGUAGUCCACGCCGUAAACGAUGAGUGCUAGGUGUUAGGGGGCUUCCACCCCUUAGUGCUGAAGUUAACGCAUUAAGCACUCCGCCUGGGGAGUACGGCCGCAAGGCUGAAACUCAAAGGAAUUGACGGGGGCCCGCACAAGCGGUGGAGCAUGUGGUUUAAUUCGAAGCAACGCGAAGAACCUUACCAGGUCUUGACAUCCUUGGACAAUCCUAGAGAUAGGACUUUCCCUUCGGGGACCAAGUGACAGGUGGUGCAUGGUUGUCGUCAGCUCGUGUCGUGAGAUGUUGGGUUAAGUCCCGCAACCAGCGCAACCCCUAAUCUUAGUUGCCAGCAUUCAGUUGGGCACUUCUAAGGUGACUGCCGGCGACAAACCGGAGGAAGGCGGGGAAGACGUCAAAUCAUCAUGCCCCUUAUGACAUGGGCUACACACGUGCUACAAUGGAUGGUACAAAGGGCAGCGAAGCCGCGAGGUGUAGCAAAUCCCAUAAAACCAUUCUCAGUUCGGAUUGCAGGCUGCAACUCGCCUGCAUGAAGCCGGAAUCGCUAGUAAUCGCGGAUCAGCAUGCCGCGGUGAAUACGUUCCCGGGCCUUGUACACACCGCCCGUCACACCACGAGAGUUGGCAACACCCGAAGUCGGUGAGGUAACCUU
rnacentral:rRNA from 1 species